CCUCUUUUUCGGGUAUAGCUGAUUCGAGUUCUUCUCUGAUCUUGGAUUCUACUAAUGGGUUCUUGGAAACAAGCCAGAAAAACCAGGUGAGAGCUGAACUGGUAGUGUCCCGUCCCGCGAUCAUGAAAUUUAGAAUGGUGUCUCUAAGAAAUUUAUGGUCGCAUUUCAACCCCAUGGUGAUAUCUUCACUCAUAUACGACGUUAACAGAUCGACACCAUCUUCCUCUUCUUGCAAGUUGAUUAUUCCUUUACUUAAUUCGUCUCGUUUCUUUGAUAUAUAUUCAGCUAUAGUAUGAUCUAGGGUUUCCCAAGCUUUUUGGUGUUUCUUCUCUUUUCCAAUCCCUAGCCACCUUUGUAGUCUCCAAAGGGUUUCAGGCAAGACAUGACGAUGAAGUAUAGCUUCUUCAGCAUCUUCCAAGGCUGUGGCAAAUGGAACUUCAGGUAAUUCAAUGGAGAGGCAUUUGGAGUCGAAGCCGGUCACCAACAUGCAUGUGGUAUCAAAAGUAAGCCUUUGGAACACGUCCUGCAAGUCCAUCGCUCGGUCUUCUUGUUCCGACAGAUAAUCAAGUAUUGGAAGAAGCCCUUUCUCCACUUUAUUCUGGGUGAUUUUCCCAAGAAACCGGUACAACCGCACAUUGUUGAUCAUCAGUUGACCGAGUUUUCUUUGUUUACGCCAUGACUCGGCGUCGGAAUUGAAAAUCCCAUCGCCCAAAAAAUCAAAAAUCUUGCUGAACUCAGACCCUUUUGGGAAAUUCGAGAAGUGACUGCUCAUAAUGUAGUGCACAUUGGCAGGAUCAGUGGUGACUAGAAGAUCCAUGUUACAGAACCAAGGUCCUUUGACUAGAAAAGUGCACCCACUUUUCUCUAGAAUAUCGGUAACCCUAUCGUGGAUGCGGUGGAGGUGAAGGAAGACGCUCGGAAACAUUCCAAGAAGGGGCCAGUUCCAUGGCAGAUCAUUUAUGUUCCAGAAUCUACCAAGAAUGAUAAAGAAAAUGACUGCCAAGAGGAUUUCAGGGUAGCCCAGUAAAGCCAUUAGAGCUGCACUUUGCUUAGAGCUAGGGUUUGUCAGCUCUACCAUACCAUAUUUGUAGUGCAUUGAGGACCCCUGCGGGGGGAGAAGCAAUUAUUAUUGAUUUUAUUGGGUGAUGCAGACGCUAACCGAACCAUAAUUACAACGCAUUGGUUGGCUAAUGGGAGGAUGUGGUUGGAUGUCUUCUGAUCCCACGUCUGAAUUGGUAACUAUUUAGGCAACUACCCAUCACCCAACACUGUUAGAUUUUGAAGGAUUUUAAUUAAGGAAAUAUGAUACAACUUGUACUACUGGCCAUCAACCUAUAUAAUUGAAUCUGAAUUGUUAAUAAAUGUACAAAGAAAUGAAAUCAAAGUCUAACAAAAUAAUAUAAAAAAUUGAGACCUACUCAAAAAAAAGAAGAGACAAUUUACUUUUUGAUACCAUGAAAAUAACCCAUACAUUUAUACUUUGUCAAUAAUUUUCGACAUCUAGAUAGUUGAAGUUGUACAGAAACACAGAGAUUAGGAGAAAAAUUUUCAGUCAUAAAUAUUUUUGCAUGUGUUAAUUCAUAUUCUUGAUCACCUACCAACCGUGUUGGCUUCAGGGUAGGCAUCAUUGCCAUUGUUAGUGUGGGACAAGUUUUCAGUCUUUCAGGCUAAUGGUAGCUAGGAGAUCAAUUUGGCCUGCUGCUGUAUCUAUAUAGACAGUAUUCAUAUUUAAGAUCAUAGUAAGUAUCAACCAAACCUCCAAACCUAUAAUUGUAAAUGUCAUAACCCCACUCCAGUAAUAUUUUAGAAUUCUAUUUGAAUUCCACCAUUUCCUCCUCUGGCACCACAUUUAAAAAAUAAAAAAAAAAUCAAAAUACAUGUGUGGAAUUGUACCAUUCCUUCAUCUUAAUCCACGCUCACCAAAAAUUCUAACCCUAAUUUCACCUUUCUUCCCCAUCAUCCCUACCACCUUUUUUUCAUUCUCCAUUUUAUUUUCUUAAUUUCCUUUUGCACCCAUUUAGCCCUAGUUGUUGUAAUUGCUUGUGGCUAUGACUAUUCCUCUUCAGUCUUUUUGUUUUUACUUUUUUUUCCUUUUUGAAUUUGAAAUGAGGGAGAAGAUGGAAAUGAAUGAAAGAAAAUAAAAUAAAGUGAGGAAAGAAAAAGGGUGAUGGAAAUUUAGAGUAGGUUUCAAAUUUCAUAACCACCCUUUUGUUGGUUUGUUUAUCCUUUUUGCUCAUGCUACACAUUCCAAUCAAAUUUUUGUGUUAGCUUGGCAUCCAAUGUUGCUUUCACAAGUAUCAUCUUUUCUUUUAUAUCAUUAAAUAUAUUCAAUAAAUUUAAAUGUAUUUUCAAGUUGUCAUACAUAUUGUUUUCUUCAAUAAAAUAACAUAUUAAUAUAUGCUUUAUUGCUUUUUCUUUUUUUCUUUUUAAGUUUUUUCAAUAUUUUUAUGAGUUUUAAAUAAUUUCGAUUCGACUUAUAUUUGUUAUUUGAUGUUUUUCAAUAUUUUUUUUAUAAAUAACUAACCAUUGAUAUUUCACAGUUUCUGAUAUUUUAAUUAUUUAUUGGAUCUACUCUUUGAAAAAAAUUAAGAAAUUUGAUAUUGGGUUGAUUGCUAUCAAUAUUAUUGUGAUAAUAGUUGAACCAAGACUAUAAUUUCUUAGUAUAUUAGAAUUAUUUUAUUAAUAUUUGAGUUUGGUUUUCCUUAGGAUUUGGAAGACUUGUACUUUUAUUAGGAAUUUGGUUUUUAUUAGAAUUAGGUAUAUAUAUAUGAUAAUUUUUUUUAUAUAAUUAUUUGUUUUUUUUUCCUCAUAGCUUUUUGGAGAAAUUAUUCUUGUGUUGGAGAGUUUGUUUGGUUGCUUAUAUUUGAUAUUAGAGUUUGAUGAUUAAAGAUGCAAACACCAAAGUUAAUCAUAAAAUCCAAAUUCCAAUUUAGGCCAAAAAGGAGGAAGAGGUGAUACUUUGAAUCAAAGAAAUCAUAUAUCUUAUAUUCAAUAUUAUAAUAAAAAAAAUGGUUAUUAUAAGUCGAAAUGAAGUACAUGAAGAUCAAAUGAGACAAAUUUUAAAGUUAAUAUUGUUGAAGAAGAGAAAGGUGAAAAUUUAGAGACCCUAUUAUCAAUAUAUGCAAUGUUGCAGAAGAAGAAAACAAAAAUGUAUAAUUUUUACCUACAGGGUUGUAUCAAUCAUAUGUAUUGGAAAGAUAUGUUUGGAUUAAUCCAACGGCUAGGACUUGGGAGAACGUCUAGUUAAAGACGGGACUUGUGUUGGAAUGGACCAUAGGUAGAGCCUUAGGCUAUUAUUGGUUAUUAGAAAAUGUGAGGGAAAAUAUGAAAGUAAGAAAAUAAAGAGAAAAAAUAAAAAGAAAAAAAGAAAAAAUGAAGCAAAAUAAAAAAUAUAUUAUUUUUAUGUAAUGCUUUAAAUACAUUUUAUUUUUUUUUAUGUAAAAAUUAAAUAAAAUAUAAAAUAUAUAAAUUUUUUACUAAUUUUAAUUAUAUUUUAUUUUCUUUGAUAGUUUCACUCAUACAAUCAAAAUAGAAUAAUUUCUAUUAUUUAUUUAUCUUUUCUUAAUACUUUGUAGGAAUGAAAUAUAACUUAAAAAUGUUUCCCACACUCAUAUAUCGAUUUUUAUCCUACUUUUGGAGAACAACUGAUUGGAGUUCUUGUCUGAUCUUGGAUUCUACCAAUGGGUUCUUGGAAACAAGCCAGAAAAACUAGCUGAAAGUUGAACUAGCAGUGGCCCGUCCCGCAAUCAUGAAAUUUAGAAUGGUGUCUAUGGUCACAUUUCAACCCCAUGGCGUUAUUUUCACUCAUAUAUGAAGUUAACAGAUCGACACCAUCUUCAUCUUCUUGCAAUAAUUGGGGAUUCCUUUGCCUAAUUCUUCUUGUUUCGUUGAUAUAUAUUCAUUUAUAGUACGAUCUAGGGUUUCCCAAUCUUUCUGGAGUUUAUUCUCUUUUCCAAUCCCUGGCCACCUUUGUAGUCUCCAAAGGGCUCAGGUAAAGCAUGGCGGUAAAAUAAAGCUUCUUCAACAUCUUCCAAGGCUGUCACGAAUGGAACUUGAGGGAACUCAAUGAAGAGGCAUUAGGUGUGGAAGCCGGUCGCUAACAUGUAGGUGGUAUCAAAUGUAAGCCUUUGGAACAAGUCCUGCAAGUCCACCACUAGGCCUUGCUUCGACUCAAGAAUCCGAACAAGCCCUUUCUCCACUCUGUUCUGGGUGAUUUUCGCAAGAAACAAGUGCAACCGUGCAUGGUUUAUUGUCAAUUUGAGCGAGUUUUCUUUGGUUCCGUCAUGAUUCUGUGUCCAAAUUGAAAAUCCCAUUACCGAAGACAUCAAACAUCUUCGUGGACUCCGACCCUUUUGGAAAAUUAAUAGAGAAGUUACCGUUCUUAAUGUAGUGCACACAUGGAUGAAAAUGUUGAUAAAAUAUCGAUGAAAUUUUGGAUAUCGGAAGUGGUCAAUACGAGAUUGAUCAGCGAUUAGUGGUUAGCCAAUAUAUCCCCGAUAUUUCCAUCAAUAUUUUUGCGCUCCUCUUACCUUUUUGCUUGAUCAACUCGAUCAAAGUAUAAAAAUGAUUUAACUUUGCACAGAAAGGGGAUUCCAACCUGGGUUAAAAGGAAUCCAUUCAUCUAAAGCACAAUAAUAUUCAUUUUGAUACUAAAACACUAUUACCAUGUAAUAUGUAUGAAUUGUUCUCAUUGAAUAAAAUCAAAGAUUUCUUAUCCUAAUUCUUAGUGUGCACUUCCAAUAUUCAUAUUUUGUAACUUUAAAAUCCAAGUACCGAUAUAUCCAUAUUUAUUAAUAUUUUUAUCCUUAACCAUAUCUAUAUCAAUUAUAUUUACAAACUAACUUUAAUAUGAAUUUUUUUUUUGCUUAUUUUAUCAUUUUUGAAGUUUUUUUCAAUCAUUUUUAUGAAUUUUGAAUAAUUUUUGUCAAGAUAUUCAUUGAUGUUUUCAUUAUAUUCGUAAAAUUUAAGUAUUAAUAUAUCCGUAUUUAUCGAUAUUUUCAUUUUUGCGUGCAUACUAACAACAUCAAUGGUGCUUAAUAUAUCCAUACUGUAGAACCAAGGCCCUUUGAAUAGAGAAGUGCUCCCAAUUUUCUCUACAACUUCGAUAUUCUUAUCUUGGAUGCGUAGAGGUGAAGGAGGAGGUUCAAAAACAUCCCGAGGAAGGGCCAGUUCCAUGGCAGCCCAUUUUUGUUGCAGAAUCCAGCAAGAAUGAGAAAUAAUUAAUUGACUGCCAACAGGAUUUCAGGGUAGCCCAGUGAAGCCAUUAGAGCUGCAUUUUGCUUAAAGCUAGGGUUUGUCAUCUCUACUAAAUCUGUAAGUGUAACUAUAUAUAUUGUAAAGUUUCAAUUGAAGCAAUAAGCUAAAUAGCAUAUUUGUUGCGAGGUUCAUACACAGUAACAAAUGGUAUUCUUUUUUGGUAAGUAUUGAAAAGACACCAUUAAUCAAGUGGUAUCGUAUAUAUAUUUUCAAGUCUCAUUAUUUAUAUCCCAAUCUUAUCUGCUUGUAUCUUUAUACCUUAGUAUCAUUUACCCGUUCAGAUUUAGACUUUAAUAGAUAUCUCUCGAAUGUCAUAGCAUUUUCCUUAUAGUAAAGUAAUGCACUAGGUAUCAAAGAACCAACUAUUAUUGAUUUUGUGGGUUGAUGUAGACAUGAAUCCAAGCCUACUUGCAUCGAUAGCUAAAGUAUACAUAGAGUACUGUGUGUCUCCAAAAAGCCCGCGGCCCGCUUUAGGCCCGGCCCGUAGGCCCGCCCCUUUAACUACAAAAAUAAAAAGUAUUAAAAAAAAUAUACUUUAUUUUUAUAUAUAUAUAACUAACUCAUUUAAUAAGCAUAAAAGGAAUGUAGCUCAGUUGGUUAGAGCCUUGAAAUUUAAACUUGAGGGGAGGGGUUCAAAUCCCCCCCUCCCUUCCUUUAUUUAAAAGUCAUUUUGGCUUAUUUAAAAAAGCCCGCUAGCCCGGCCCGCCCAGCCCGCCCCCCAGCCCGCGGGCUCAUAAGCCGGGCCGCGGGCCUAGAAUUUUAGCAUGGCCUGGCCCGGUCCGGCCUGGCCCGGUCCGGCCUGGCCCGCCCAUUGGAGACCCUUAUAGAGUACAACCCUUAUGAUGAUGACAUCAUACCAUAGCUAAAGUAUACAUAGAGUACAACCCUUAUGAUGAUGACAUCAUACUAUACUCCAAUUCUGUUCAUAAAAUGAUUUGAAUCCAUAUUACUCAACAUUUUUAGAUUAUUUCAUACCAUUAAUUUAUUUAGGAAAAUGCCAUGCCAUCGAAUUUGUAAUGUGAUUUAUUGGUUUAUAUAAUGGAUCAAUAGGCACACAAAAUAAUAAAAUUAAGAUGCAAAUAAAUAAAUUUUAGGUAUAAAUAAUUAAGAAAUAAAACUUAGGGAAAAAGAAAUGUGAUAUAAACCUAAUAAAAAAAAGAAAAUAAAAUUAAGGUAUGAAUAAAUAAAAUUGAACUAAAAAUAAAUAAAAUCUAAGUCAAAGUAUACAUAAAUAAGACUAUUAAUAUCACAUAAUACAUUGUAGAAAAUCUUUCCAUGGCAUGACCCACUUUUUGAUCUUUUACGGUCAUUUUCAACAUGUGAGCAAAUUGUUGUACCAAAACCAUAGAUAUAAAUAAAAAAGGAUAAUUGUCUUUUGCACCAGUUGGCCAGAAAUCAAAAUUUGACCCAUAAAAAUUACAUAAUUGAUAAAGAGGAUAUAAAAUAUGAGAAGACUAAUAUAACCUUCAAAAUUAUUUUCUAUCAUAAUAUUUGAAAAACUUUUUUAUCUUAAUUUUUUUUAAAUAAUUAUUAUGAAAAUUUAUUAUUUUUAGAAAACUAAUUUUUUUAAAAAUAUAUUAUAAAAAUAUAUCAUUUAAAAAAAAUAAAUUUGAUAUAUUUUUAGUUAUUUUUUAUAUACAUAAUUUUAAAAAUAUAUAUUUUCCAAAAUGUUUGAUUUUUAAAUAAUAAUAAUUUAUUUUUGGAAAAUAGUGUAUUUUUUUUUCAAAUCACUAAAUUAUAUUAAAUUUUACUAAGAUUUUCAAAAUGAAUAAAAUUUAAAUUUUUUUAUUUUUUAUUUUUUAUUUUUUAUAGUCAAUAAAGAUCAUUUUUUGAAAGAUAAAAAUUUUAUAUAUUUCUUAUUAAUUUUCACACUUCCUUUAGGUUUUAGUCUUAAAUAGUGAACUUAUAUGAACCAAAAUUUAAUUUUUUAACCCAACUACGUUCAAAACACAAUUAUCACGUAUAAAAAUGAACAAUGGGAUAGGUGUGGCAAUAAAGAGACCCUCUCAAAAGUAGUACUGUUUCCUUAUAUUGCAAAGCCACUCUGGGAAAAACCAUUCGUAAACAACUCUGACGAUGAUGCUCAAAAUGAUCAUUUUUCACUUGCUAAUUUACAAUAUUUAUCUAGCUGGCUAUCAUAUUUCCAAGAAGUUGUGUUCUGAACAUAACUGCAACAAAGUAUAUUAGCAAGGUGACUGAAAUAUUUUGCUUAUCUCAUGUUCUCAAUAAUACAAGUUUAAUUUAUUUAUAUAGAAGGUGAAAAAAAAGGCAUAUCAUUGGUGGUUUUGUUUUUGCUUCGGAAUUCGAUAAUGUUUUCAAAAAUAGAAAAAUAUUUCAAAACACUUCCAAUUUGUUUUAAAAAAUAAUAGGUUUUCAGGACAAAUUCUUGAAAAAUAUUUUUGAGUUAAUAGUUUUUAAGUAGAUCCUUUGCCUUGCAAAUCCCAGGUUCAUGUAACCCAAUAUUCAUUUUAUGAAUAUAUUUCCUUGGACCAGAAUUUAACUAAAGUUUUCUAUCAUAAAUAUUAUUGUAUCUUAUCAGUCUUUAUUACCUACCAACCAUGUUGUCAUCAGAGUAGAUACCAUUGUUAUUGCAUGUGGACCAACCUUUUAGACUUUGUCAAAAAUGUUAGCUAGAAAAUCAGCUUGGCCCUCUGCUAUAUUUAUUGAUCACAUUAUUCAUAUUUAAGAUCACACCCUCCCACCCCACAUGAUUCUAAAUGUCAUAAGUAUGCAUAAUUCAUUGGAUUCAACAGUAUCCUUGUGAUAGAAAAGGAAAGAAAAGAAUAUUUAAUAUCUGGCCUAGUGAAUGCCAGUAUUGAGAGCUCCCACCAUAGUAUGAUAUUCAAUGAUAUAUUGAUUAUAUAAUGAACCACCAUCAAAUGAGGAGAGUUUUUUUGUGAAACAAAGCAGGAGAACCACAAGGCUUGAAUUCUUUCACAUUUGUGCAUUCCAAAACAGAGGUAGCAUACUUGGUUUGAUUCAAAUGUAAUGAUACAGAAGAGCAAGUUCCUUCAUUAAUGUCAAGAAAAUAAUGAAGAUCACAAUGAUCUUUCAUGGAAAAAUUAAUGGAGGAUAGCCAAGCUAGAAUGAUUUUGUUGAAUUUUGAAUUUUGCCUUAGUAUCUGCUAGAAUUUGAAUUUUGAAAUUAAAUAUUGCAGCUGGAGUCUUGCACAAAAUCUGCAACAUCCAAAUAUUUUCUUGUUUUUAUUUGGUUAGGAUUUGGUUUGAUUUCUAUUUUAUAGAAAGUAGUUGUUCAUUAUCUAGUAACUUGAUUUUCUGCUAUUCUAAUGUCAUUUCAGUUACAAGCUCAUGUAUAAAUUCAACACUCUUCAUCAAUAAAAUGUGUGUUCCAACAACCCAAAAAUAUAUAUUUUGCAUAAGUGUUUAAUCUAAGAUCAACAGUUUUGAGGUAAUGCUAAUAAGGAGCUAGUAAGAAUAAGGACAUGAUCAAUAUAAAGUAGGAGAAUUAUACGUAAUAUCAUUAGAUGAAUGGAGAACAAACAUUAGAAGAUCAACAUGACUAGAAAUGAUGACAUAUUAGGCAAGACUGACAAAAUUAUGUGAAAAAACAUGAUAUACAUUGAGAAUCUAAUUCCUACAAACCUAAUAUGAUAUUAAAUCUUGGCUUGAUAGGAAAUUGUGUUUAAAUUGUCUUUCCAUAAUUUGCAUAUGACUAUUUGCAGUUGUUUGUCUAAAUAUGGGUACAAGGCUGCACGUGAGAAAGAGUAUUAAAGAGCAUGGUUUACGUUGUGAACCAAAAUCCUAUAUGCUUAACCUUUUAGGAAAAUUGGUAAUUUAACAAGUUAAAGUAUUAAAAUCAAGCACAAGGGGCUUCUUUCAAACCAUAAAUGGCUCAAUUUAACUUGCAAACAUUCCGAGGUUGAGUGGCAUCUUCAAAUCCUUGUGGUUGUGGAAUAUAGAAUUCAGUUGUGGAAUUGAUAUUAGGUUUAUAUUAUAAUAUAUAUAUAAUCAAAUACAAUAAAAACUAAUUAAAAACUUAUAUAUUUUCAAAUUAUUUCAUCUUUACAUUAAAGAAUUAAAAAAAGUGAAAUAAGUUUGAAAUAACAUAUAAAAAUAAUUUAUUAACUUUAAAUAUAUAUUUUAUUUGUUUUUUUUUCUUUCAUUCAUGUUUUCUCUUACAUUUUUUGGAAACUAAACAUAGCCUAAAUGAAUAUAAUUAGAAUCUUUUUUUAGAGGAGAACCUAGACAACAAAGAGUAUAAAGAAACAAUGGUUUGAAUUGCAAAUUGUAAAUCAAUAUGGUCUAGCAAUGAAAUAAUCGAAACGAUGGAUAUGGUUGUAUUAAGGUUAAGGUAAUAAUAGUGUUACAAAAUAACAAGAAUAAAUAAUAAGAAAUAAAAUAAAAUAAAAAUAUAUAGAUUUAAAAUCAACACAAGAGGAGAAAGGUGUGAGUGGUUAUCGCAAAAAUAUAAUCAUCAUAACCCUAAAAACUAUAUAUAUAGUGUGCAUUUAAGGGGAGGGAGAGGAGUAAUAAAUAAAGCAGAUCCUCUAAAAAAUCUCAUGAUUUUAGCUUCAUCAUUUAUGUCGUACAAUGAGAUUUUGAGAUCGGAUUAAAUAGAAUUCGGGACUCUAAUAAAUAGAACAAAAAAGAGUAGCAUUCAUCAAAUCCAAUAUUACAAGAAACAGAGAGAAUAUUUAUGACGGGAGAUAGAGACAAUAAGUUUAGGUAUGAUGGACCCAUUAUAUCCCCAUGAAUACCAAAGCAUCCGAAAAUUCGCCUACCAGAAUAAGUAGGACGGUCCAAAUAAAACCUCACGAAGAGAUGAAGUUUGGCUAAUACUGAUGUGGGUGGAAGAUUGAUAUGUAAAACAAAAGAGAAAAUGUUUCAAUGCAAUAGGUGUUUCAAUAUGCAUAUAUCCCACUGUCGAGGACAAGAAUUACUUUGACAAUCAAGUUACAAUAAGACUUUUGGCAACAGGUGGGGGCCACUAAACUGUCACGAUUUAAUACUUGGAUGGCCUUAGCCAAGACCAACACGUACAUAUCACAGCCUACUUCACACAUUUGAUUUAUGGAAUAUAAUAUGGGAUAAAUUAAGAGAUAGAAUAAUUUAUUAUACCUCAUAUUUAAUUUACAAUGAAAUGGAUUAAGUUUUCAUUUAUUCAAUCCGAUUUUCUUUUUUAUUUAUAACCUCUACAUAUGAAUAUAAUAAUAAUAAUAAUAAUAAUAAUAAUAAUAAUAAAGUUAGAUUUAUUAUUAUUUAUUGUCUUAUCCUAUUUUGAUUAAAAAAAUUAAAAUUUUAAUUGGAAAAAGAAUAAAAAAUAAAAGAUAUGUGAAAUGAUACAAUCUAAAAUAAUACUAAUAUAUUUUGCAAUAUAAUAUAAUAUAAUAUUUUUAUUUAUAAGUUUUAAAUGUAUUAAUCAUAAUAUUACUAACAAAGACAUAAAAUAAUAUUCACUAAAUUAUAAAUUAUAGAGUGAUUUUAAAAUUCUUUUAAUAUAUAGCUGGAAAGAGAUUUCAUAUUUUUCAUUCCAUUUUGUAUGUAUAAACUGAGCACACUUGGACAUUGAAAUAGACACAAGUACAACUGACACAGUUUGAGAUUGAAAUCGAUAGAAGGCUGGCUAGGUAGGUAGUUUUUCAUGCAUGCAACAAAGAUCAAACAACACGACAUUUCUACCCACCCCAUCUCUUGCUAACUCUGACCUUGAACCCACGCUUCAUGUACAGAAUAAUGGAAACGUUAGGGGCCACAUGGUGACCUUUCACCAUCUCAACAUGGUAGUUGUGGAUUAUCGUGGCGGCCACCGCCUUCAUUUGAGUGAAAGCCACCUCCUUCCCUAUACAAGUCCUCGGACCAGCGUUGAAUGAAAAGAACUUGUAGGAAGGCUCAUGCUUGAUCUUUCCUAGCUCUGAAAUCCACCUCUCCGGUUUGAAUUCUAAGCAGUCUUUUCCCCAUAUUGCAGUCAUUCUGCCCAUUGCAUACACGGGAAAGAAGAUCUUCAUCUUUGGAUCAACCUUAUGGCCACUUGGGAGGACGUCUGGUUGAAUUGGGGCCUUGUGCUGGAAUGGGACAGGUGGGUAGAGCCUUAAAGCUUCACACAUUGCGGCAUGCAGAUAAACCAGCUUGUUUAACCCUUCUGUCUUGAAUAUGUGUCGUCCUUUUCUAUCCUCUUUUUCGGGUAUAGCCGUUUCGAUUUCUUCUCUGAUCUUGGAUUCUACUAAUGGGUUCUUGGAAACAAGCCAGAAAAACCAGGUGAGGGCUGAACUAGUAGUGUCCCGUCCUGCGAUCAUGAAAUUUAGAAUGGUGUCUCUGAGAAACUUACCGUCACAUUUCAACCCUAUGGCGUUAUCUUCAGUCAUAUACGAGGUUAACAGAUCGGCACCAUCUUCAUCUUCUCGCA
rnacentral:lncRNA from 1 species